rnacentral:tRNA from 1 species
AUCGCGAUAGCUCACUCGGUAGAGCAUCUGCUCGGUAAGCGGAGUGUCGCCGGUCCGAUUCUGGCUCGCGGAG